CGCAAGCCUGACGGAGCAAGACCGCGUGAGGGAGGAAGGCCUACUGGUUGUAAACCUCUUUUGAUAGGGAAGAACACAAUGACGGUACCUAUCGAAUCAGCCUCGGCUAACUCCGUGCCAGCAGCCGCGGUAAUACGGAGGAGGCAAGCGUUAUCCGGAAUUAUUGGGCGUAAAGCGUCCGUAGGUGGAUUGUCAAGUCAGUUGUUAAAGCGUGGAGCUUAACUCCAUAAGGGCAAUUGAAACUGAUAGUCUAGAGUGCGAUAGGGGCAAGGGGAAUUCCCAGUGUAGCGGUGAAAUGCGUAGAUAUUGGGAAGAACAUCGGUGGCGAAAGCGCCUUGCUGGGCCUGCACUGACACUGAGGGACGAAAGCUAGGGGAGCG
rnacentral:rRNA from 1 species